CUAAAUAACGGGGAUUCCCAGGAGCGGUUAAAUAUAUCCAGAAGCUUUCCAGUUCCCGGCCCUUCUUCUCUCCAGAGAACCAGAGUUCGUACUGGAUCUGCGAUCUCCGGUGUUUUUGCUGCGGGACUGAAGUUUGCUUCCGCGCUUUGUUAUGUCAGAAGCUCCAGCUCCGACUGAAAACAGCAAAAUAGGACCUGAUUAUUUUGGUUACUAUACAUCUGCAAUAUCAGAACUAUUAUUGCAGGAUGGGAAUUCACUUCCCAGCUCCCGAACCAUUGGGUGUUCCAAGGGAAAAAGUGUGGAGGUUAGAGAAAAGAAGGCAGAUGACUAUUGUUAUAGUGGUGAUGGUUCAUUUUGCAACGCUAUAGGAGCUGGGUUAUCAGAUGUCACAAGAGAUAGAUUGAAGACACUACUUCAGCAGAGUGUGAAUGACCUUACACCAGAAGUUGAUGAAAUGCUAGAUCCCGUUCUGUCUAUUCGUCAGUUGCAAUCUCGGCUCAGAAGCAAAACUGGUUUUUCAAGUCAUGCUAGUAUAGCAUCUAACAGUGAUAGGCAGGUUCCAUCUAAGAAACUCAAGACAACUUCUUCAUCAUUGUCUUCAACCAGCAAUCCUGAACAUGCUAGUCCCAACAAGUCUAGAUCUUGUAAAGAGGCUUCAACUUCCAAACACAGUGAUCUCAAAUCUUCAGAUGUACCCUUGUCAAACAAAGGAAGAUCCAAUGUUGUUCAGAAGCGUUGCAUUCAUUGUCGGUCGACAGAAACCUUCCAUUUGGGGAAUGGUUCAGAUGGGCCUAAGUAUCUCUGUGAUGCUUGUGGAAUUGAUUACAGAAAGGAACAAACAUUUCAUUCCGGUAUGCACCUUGGUGCUGAUGAAGAAAAUGGAGAGUUGGAUGACGAUUUGCAAUUCCUCCUGGAGAAUGAUGGUCAUCAGGUUGAGGAGGCAAUGAAGAAAUAUUCUGCUGAGCUUUCUGCAACAGGCACAUGGAACUGCAACUUGAAGAACUUCUUAAUACUGUGAUGUCCAAGUGCAGGUAUUCUUUGUUUUGUGGGAAAUCAGAUCUGUCAUUUGUUGCAUGAAAGCAAACUAUUAACUAGCCUAUGACUCUUGCUGAGAAGAAGAUCUUAAAACUUUGAUUCAGAAGUUACCAUCUGGAAGCCUUGACCGGGUAGUAGAAAUCAUUAAACGUCAUAAGCAAGCAGAAGAAGGAUCUUGUGAUGAAGUUUCUGUUGACUUGGAGCAACAGGUAGAGGCAGUCAUAAACUUUUUUAAGAUUGUUAGGAUUUCUGACUAUAUCUGGAAUAUGUUUUUCAGGAUAAUGUAACACUCUGGAGAUUAUAUUUUUAUGUCAAAGCAGUUGAGAAAGCUGCUAAACUUGUACCCUCGCGUGUUUAGAGAAUCUCAACAUGAUGACAUCUUAACCUUACUAUAA